CAGAGGACUGAUGCCCGGUGAAAAGGUGAACGUGACAUAUUCCCCCGUCAGCUGCAAGAAAGGAACCACAGAACAGCUUCUUAUAUAACACAACCACAUCUCAGAAGAAGCCUCCGUGGCGAAACGUCGGGUUUUGGCGGUGUGGUUUUGCUCCUCUCUACCACUUGAGGACUGAUGCCCGGUGAAAAGGUGAACGUGACAUAUACCCUCGUCAGCUGCAAGAAAGGAACCAUGAAACAG